UGGGGAAUAUUGCACAAUGGAGGGAACUCUGAUGCAGCGACGCCGCGUGAACGAAGAAGGCUUUCGAGUCGUAAAGUUCUUUUAUAUGGGAAGAUAAUGAUGGUACCAUAAGAAAAAGCCCCGGCUAACUACGUGCCAGCGGCCGCGGUAAUACGUAGGGGGCUAGCGUUGUCCGGAAUCACUGGGCGUAAAGGGUUCGCAGGCGGAAAUGCAAGUCAGGUGUAAAAGGCAGUAGCUUAACUACUGUAAGCAUUUGAAACUGCAUAUCUUGAGAAGAGUAGAGGUAAGUGGAAUUUUUAGUGUAGCGGUGAAAUGCGUAGAUAUUAAAAAGAAUACCGGUGGCGAAGGCGACUUACUGGGCUCAUUCUGACGCUGAGGAACGAAAGCGUGGGUAGCAAACAGG
rnacentral:rRNA from 1 species